rnacentral:rRNA from 1 species
UACAGAGGUCUCGAGCGUUAGUCGGAAUCACUGGGCUUAAAGCGUACGUAGGCGGAUCUGUAGGCGUCGUGUGAAAUACCUCGGCUCAACCGAGGAACUGCACGGCGAACCACAGUUCUUGAGACAAGUAGGGGCGGUCGGAACGAUAGGUGGAGUGGUGAAAUGCGUUGAUAUCUGGAGGAACACCAGUGGCGAAGGCGGCUAUCUGGGCCACGACUGACGCUGAGGCGCGAAAGCUAGGGGAGCGAACAGG